UGUUGCACGAAGUUAGGGCUCGAUCAGCUGAAGUCCUUGUCGAUUAGGGCACGAAUCUGAAUGAGAUUUUGGAAAAAUCCCAAGAACUAAAGUUGAUCUACUCGACGAGAGCUUCCUAUCCAUCCGAGAAAAUUCAUGAUUGGAGCACUUCGAAGUUUCCUCCAUGUUCGGGCGCUUCUAACCUUCGAGGUAGGGAUCUUCUGCCUUCUUUACAUGUUUAAGUGUUAGUUUUAUGUACAAGAAUCAAGUUUGAUCAUCUAUUUUGAGUCUUGAAUGAAUCUGGUAUAUGCUGAAAAUUUCGUGGGUUCUGGUAAUCUGUCUUUUGGGGGCCCUUCUGCUAGGAAUCAAUUUUUGGUGUCUUCAUAAUAGUUAAAGUACGUUUCAAUACGAAGAUUUCGGUACCAAGAUCAUGAAAAACCGAUAAUCACACAAUUAGUUAUGAAUUUUUGAAUACCGGAUGUUUCCUGGAUGUGCAAAUCUGUGCGUGGCUGUCUUCUUUUAACUUUCCGGGUAUGAUGAACAAUUUGAGUGGCUUUGGGUCUUUUACAGGAGCUGCAUAUUUAAGUUAAGAAGGGAUUGGCGUUGGAAUCAAGUGAUUCGGUUAAGUAUACAAUUUUUGGUGAAUUUCUAAAGCAGGGUUGAUUAACUAGUGCGAAAAUGGUUGCGAACAUGUUUUUCUUUGGAGGGUUGGGUUAAUUUCCUCUCGUUCCAAAACCUGGGAUUUUUAUUGAGUGUAGGGCUUGUAGUGGUGCAAAUUUUGGCAUUGGUUUCAAUAUUUUUGGGUUUAAGAUGGAAGAGUUAUGAUUUUUCAAUCAAUUUUACUUAUUCCCGCGUAGAAUCUGACAGCACCAGCGGACUUUGGUAAAAUGGCCAUAACUCCUAGCUCGGGACUCGAAAUGACGCAACAUUUGUUUUGUUAGAAACUAGACACGGAGAGCUUUCCAACGACACAUCCCAUGCAUCAUGGGUAUGUCCGAGCAAUAACAAAUUUGCAUCCAAAGUUGACCCAAUCCUGCCUUUGCACCAGUUUCACGGUUACGUUGAGCCAUAAUUGCAAGGCCGUAGUAAGGUUACUUGAACUCCGUUAUUUUUUGAUGUAUGACCUUCAGAUCGAAGAAGAAGAAGUCUACUUUUCAAUGGUUUAAAUGUCGUUCUUAAAUUUAUGUUAUUUGAUCGGAUAUGGUCGGAUAUGGUCAGAACUUGAAGUGUGAAUGAUUAAUUUCACCCAUUGGAUAUGUGGGGAUAUGGUGAGUUGAUCUAGAUGAUUAAUUAUUGGGAUAUGAGAACUAGUGAGCAUAAGGGUUAAAUACUUAUAAACGAUUGGAAUAGAAAAUGGAUUAGAUGGAUAAUACGAUCGAUGAUAAAUUAAGUUGUAGAAUGUUUGACGUGAUGUGUAAAUUAUUUGAUGUCUUUCCAUGAGAUUGAGACUUUGGGCUUGCGGGAUACUUGCAGUGAGUUAAACAAGAUUUGGUGAAUCACUUGGCAUGAGUGCAUGUUUGCUAAGCAUUGAUGGGUACUACAUAGAGAGGAUCUUUAUUAGUAUUUGCAAAUUAGACUCUAAAUGGAGAUGUUACAAAGGGGGUCCAAUAGGUGGUAAAAUGAGAUGUGAAAUAAAGGGUCGAUUUACUAUGUGAAGGAUGUGGGUUUUUGUGCUUUCUUUAUUGAGAUGAUGAAGAUGAGAUUAUUUACGUGUAACUGAAUCUAAGUAUUGGUUUUAUUGAAAUGAUGAAGAUGAGAUUAUUUACGUGUAACUGAAUCUAAGUAUUGGUGUGAGAGAUAUGUUUUGCUAUGUGUGGGGAUUAGAGAAACUGUGGAUAAAGAGAUUGGUUGCUCAGUGAGAAUAUGUGACACUAAUUGAACGAUAAUGAAAGCCACGGAUCCACCAUAAGGUGAGUUGCUGGAACGAAAGCCACGGAUCCACCAUAAGGUGAGAUGUCGGAAUGAAAGCCACGGAUCCAUUGAAAGGUGUGAUGCCGGAAUGAAUAUGGGACGCACGGGGUCCCUAAUGCCUGGAAGUGCACAAGAAAGCCACGGAUCCACUGAAAGGUGUGAUGCCGGAAUGAACAUAGGACGCACGGGGUCCUUAAUGCCCGGAAAUGAAAUCGAGACAUGUGACAGUGAAAACGGAGAAUCGUGUUAUUAUUUAGCAUCAUACUAAGAUUGAAAUGUCAGUUUGAGUUGGUAACUUAGAUCGUCUAAGAUGUCGAUACUAGCUUAUUUUCCUUCUCAUAGACUUCCCAAAUCAUUGGAGCUCGUUGUACUAAUAUCGGUUUGAGUAAAAGACGUGUGUGUGUGGGUGGGAAUAUCAGUAUUUGAUAAGUGGAGUUAAAUAUUUUUCAGCAUGAGUAUGGUAUUUUGAGUUCCACUUUUUGGCAAAACAAAUAUGCCUCUUCUUUUUUUGAAAAUGUUUUUCCUUGGGAUUUGUCUUCACUUUUGCAUGUAAUUUAGAUAAGGAUAUCUCUACGAGCUAGUGUAGCUCACUCUAUCCUUUCAGGUACUUGCCAUGGCACUUAGCUUGAAUUGCAUGGAGUGCACAUUGAGUCGUCUCUUGAGGGCUUCAUUGGAAACAUUAAGGAGGUGUUUAUCAUCUAGUCUAAUUUAUGUUGUGUACUUUACUCGCAAUUGAAGGUUGUACCUUUUGGUUAGAACAUAUGUAAAGCUAUAUAUAAACUCCUCUCCUUGAUUAUUGUGAAGCCCCUUUUAGUGGAUGACGUUUGGGAGACUUUGUGUAAAAAAAAAAAAAUUAGAAGAAGAAGAAGAAGAAGAAGAAGAGACUUUGAUUCUUUGUUGGAUUGGCAUGACAUUUAAGGGUAAAUAUAGUUGAGAGAGAUUUUUUUUUGUUUGUAGAAAAUUAUUAUUAUUUUGUUGAAAAUUGAGGAUGUGACAGAAAGUCAGUAUUGUUGUUAGUGAGGUUUAAACCCUGUCAAAUGCAUGGGAGUAUAUGGUGCUUACCAUUAGGCUACCACUCCACUUGCCCAGC